rnacentral:rRNA from 1 species
UGGGGGAUAACGUAGCGAAAGUUACGCUAAUACCGCAUACGAUCUAAGGAUGAAAGUGGGGGAUCGCACAGACCUCAUGCUCGUGGAGCGGCCGAUAUCUGAUUAGCUAGUUGGUAGGGUAAAAGCCUACCAAGGCAUCGAUCAGUAGCUGGUCUGAGAGGACGACCAGCCACACUGGAACUGAGACACGGUCCAGACUCCUACGGGAGGCAGCAGUGGGGAAUUUUGGACAAUGGGCGAAAGCCUGAUCCAGCAAUGCCGCGUGAGUGAAGAAGGCCUUCGGGUUGUAAAGCUCUUUUGUCAGGGAAGAAACGGUGAGAGCUAAUAUCUNUUGCUAAUGACGGUACCUGAAGAAUAAGCACCGGCUAACUACGUGCCAGCAGCCGCGGUAAUACGUAGGGUGCAAGCGUUAAUCGGAAUUACUGGGCGUAAAGCGUGCGCAGGCGGUUUUGUAAGUCUGAUGUGAAAUCCCCGGGCUCAACCUGGGAAUUGCAUUGGAGACUGCAAGGCUAGAAUCUGGCAGAGGGGGGUAGAAUUCCACGUGUAGCAGUGAAAUGCGUA